CGCGACCCCAGUUACAGAAUGGCAACCGAUGU
rnacentral:rRNA from 1 species